rnacentral:rRNA from 1 species
UACAAAGGGUGCAAGCGUUAUCCGGAUUCACUGGGGUUAAAGGAAGCGUAGGUGGGGUGGUAAGUCAGUGGUGAAAUCUCCGGGCUUAACUCGGAAACUGCCGUUGAUACUAUCAUUCUUGAAUAUUGUGGAGGUAAGCGGAAUAUGUCAUGUAGCGGUGAAAUGCUUAGAUAUGACAUAGAACACCCAUUGCGAAGGCAGCUUACUACACGAUCAUUGACGCUGAGGCACGAAAGCGUGGGGAGCAAACAGG